rnacentral:rRNA from 1 species
CUACGGGAGGCAGCAGUGGGGGAUAUUGCACAAUGGGGGAAACCCUGAUGCAGCAACGCCGCGUGAAGGAAGACGGAUUUCGGUCUGUAAACUUCUAUCAGCUGGGAAGAAAAUGACGGUACCAGACUAAGAAGCCCCGGCUAACUACGUGCCAGCAGCCGCGGUAAUACGUAGGGGGCAAGCGUUAUCCGGAUUUACUGGGUGUAAAGGGUACGUAGGCGGUUAUUUAAGUCCGAUGUGAAAGCCCGGAGCUCAACUCCGGGACUGCAUUUGAAACUGGGUAACUAGAGUACAGGAGAGGAAAGCGGAAUUCCUAGUGUAGCGGUGAAAUGCGUAGAUAUUAGGAAGAACACCAGUGGCGAAGGCGGCUUUCUGGACUGUAACUGACGCUGAGGUACGAAAGCGUGGGGAGCGAACAGGAUUAGAUACCCUUGUAGUC